AGUUUUGUCCCUAUUUGCCGGUUUUCAAAUAAAGGCACAGUAUACAAUAAAGGUUAGGAACAAGUAAAUUGUAUUAUUUUAAAAAGUACUGACCAAGUACAUUCACACAUUGGGAGUAUCCAAGGAUUGGGCUAUUACCGAUGUCGUUGGCUUAGAUCCUGAAAUGCUAGAAUGGAUUCCGCAGCCUGUAAAAGCGAUUAUAUUGCUUUUUCCUGUUUCUGAGGCUUACGAAAAGCAUAGGGCCCAAGAGCACGAAAGUUUAGCUGCAGAUCCCGGUAUUUUUCCGGACGACCUGUUUUACAUGCGCCAACUUACCUCAAACGCUUGCGGAACGGUUGCUCUAAUACACUGCGUGGCAAACAGUACAAGCAUUUCUCUCACCGAAGGAGUUCUGAAGAGUUUCCUUGAAAGUGUAAGGGAUUUAACACCUGAAGAGCGUGGCAAAGCUUUGGAAAAUGAUAAAUCUUUUACCGAGGGGCAUCAUGAACUUGCCAAAGAAGGCCAAACUGUUGCUGAUCCAGAGGAGAAAGUAAAUCAUCACUUUAUCGCUUUGAUCAAUAAGGACGGAACAUUGUACGAGUUGGAUGGACGCAAACAAUUUCCAAUUAAACAUGGCUCCACUUCGGAUGAAACGUUUGUGCAAGACGCUGCCAAAGUUUGCAAGGAGUUCAUGGCACGUGACCCAGACGAACUGCGAUUUACAGUAAUGGCGCUAGUCGCGUCAGAUAAUUGAACUCUGCAUUAUUAUUAUUAGUCACUUAGGAAGUGCUCUUUUCUUUAGUUAGGCUCUGCCUUAAAUUUACUCGGAAAUUUUUUUUUAUAUUGCUAAUGUAUUGGUACUUUAAGCACGCAUCUCAUUUUAAUUUAAUAAAACAUGGGAAUCGUUUGAAAAAUA